GAAAUGACCAAAAUGCCCUUCGUUGUGUUCAUUGAGUUAUAACUGUCUAUAUCGAUUGACUAAAUUUUUUUUUUUAAUUUUCUUGGCAUCUUUAUUGUCAUUUAAACCUCAUGAUUUCCUUCAAUUAAGUUUCAAUAUUUAUCUUCAGGGUUUCCCCACGGGUCUGGGGUUGGCAAUUGUCUUCACAGUCGCUUCCAGUUAGGGUUAUCCAUCGCCGUAACCUCCGGCUCAUUUAACCGAGUUGUACUUCGCUUCUUUUACUUUUCUUUAAUUUCACUUAGUCUAUAUUCAGUCAAUUUA
rnacentral:misc_RNA from 1 species